rfam:Capronia semiimmersa strain CBS 27337 unplaced genomic scaffold supercont1.3, whole genome shotgun sequence.
GAGGGGAUGGCCGAGUGGUUUAAGGCGGCAGAUUUAAGUCCUAUGUCUGCUCUAUCAGAUCAGGCGUGACCUAUCCUCUGCUUUCCGUAAGGAAGCGUGGGUUCGAACCCCACUCCUCUCA